rnacentral:rRNA from 1 species
CAGCAGCCACGGUAAUACAGAGUGUGCAAGCGUUAAUCGGAAUUACUGGGCGUAAAGCGCGCGUAGGUGGUUUGUUAAGUUGAAUGUGAAAUCCCCGGGCUCAACCUGGGAACUGCAUCCAAAACUGGCAAGCUAGAGUAGGGCAGAGGGUGGUGGAAUUUCCUGUGUAGCGGUGAAAUGCGUAGAUAUAGGAAGGAACACCAGUGGCGAAGGCGACCACCUGGGCUCAUACUGACACUGAGGUGCGAAAGCGUGGGGAGCAAACAGGAUUAGAGACCCCAGUAGUCCCUGUCUCUUAUAC